AAGUGAAACUAUGGGGU
rnacentral:misc_RNA from 1 species